UCUAUUCUUCCUCGGGUCUUAAGUCACAGCUUUCGUUACAGUUAAAACAACACUAAGCUUUGUGAGCCGACAAGCAGCAUCAAGUGGGCAAAGGCUGCACUGGGGACUGAGGGACAGUCCUGAGGAGGCACAGUAUCAUUGGAGGAGGGGAUUCUGGCCUGCCCGAUAGCCCACAUGCAAACACAGAAGUUAGAUGCCGUCAUGCUUGGUAGAGACGUUAGUCCAUUUCUAGCAUGGACUGCUGACCUUUCGUGUGUUUUGAACAGGUCUCCCUGGCUAGAUGGGCUGUGCAGCCCUUGUCCACUCUCUCUUUCCCACCCCUAGUCGAACUGGAACGGGAGGGAGCUAGAACUCAGAGCUUUGUGGCAGGAACCAAUCUGUCUCUUCAUCCUGGCUCAGCAGCUGCCUGCUUUUAGCCUGUAGCUUUCCCCCAUCUUUUCACUUGUUGAUCUAUUGACAGCCCAGGAGGGGAGGAGAGCAUAGUGGUGAUACCAGCUGAGGAGGUAACUGGAGAUUGAGAAGGAGCAGGAGGCCUAGCUCAAGGUCGUCUAGAGGACAAGCACCAGGCUGAUCAGGGAUUAGCAUAGAUGUGCUGCUAAGCCCACAGAACCUAGCUGUUUUUUUCACAGCUCCUGCUGCUCAGUGGGAUUUUUCCACAUAUCAGAUGAUCAACUCAGCGUCUGAAGGGACGGUGCCUGCCUUUGGGCCGGAAGACUGACCAUCCAGUUUUAUUGAAUUAGAAAAUGUUGCUGUAAAAAUGUCUUUUCCUAAA